rnacentral:tRNA from 1 species
GGGAAUGUGGCUUAAUGGUCAAGUGCUUGCCUAGCAUGCAUGAAGCCCUGGGUUCGAUUCCUCAGUACCA